UAAGUUUAAGAACCUGUCAAACAGCUACAGGAGACUGUCCUGGGAAGACAAGUCAUCUUAACUGACUCGCAGAUGUGUGCAGGUGGUGCCAGUGGGAGCUCCUGUACUGGUGAUAGCGGAGGGCCUCUGAACUUCUUCGACAUCAACACUCGCAGGUUUUACAUUGUUGGCCUUGUGUCCUUCGGUUAUGGCUGCGGCGAGUUUCCUGAAGUCUACACGCGUGUGGGAGCUUACCUCCACUGGAUAGAGAACACCCUGAACGACAGCACUCUCUGAAUCAGUGGUUAUUCUCAGCACGUACA